rnacentral:sRNA from 1 species
UGUAUCUGAAGCCUGAAGAGGAUGAGAACCUCCGGGGGCAAGAGGUUCGGCUCGAGCGAAGCGAGAGAACGUUGCGUCAGCAACGGCCCGCAGGGCGAGCCACGCAGUGGCGAGUCAUCCUCUAUCACCGACCA